CCUACGGGUGGCAGCAGUCGAGAAUCAUUCACAAUGGGGGAAACCCUGAUGGUGCGACGCCGCGUGGGGGAAUGAAGGUCUUCGGAUUGUAAACCCCUGUCAUGUGGGAGCAAAUUAAAAAGAUCGUACCACAAGAGGAAGAGACGGCUAACUCUGUGCCAGCAGCCGCGGUAAUAAAGAGGUCUCAAGCGUUGUUCGGAAUCACUGGGCGUAAAGCGUGCGGAGGCUGUUUCGUAAGUCGUGUGUGAAAGGCGCGGGCUCAACCCGCGGACGGCACAUGAUACUGCGAGACUAGAGUAAGGGAGGGGGAACCGGAAUUCUCGGUGUAGCAGUGAAAUGCGUAGAUAUCGAGAGGAACACUCGUGGCGAAGGCGGGUUCCUGGACAGUAACUGACGCUGAGGCACGAAGGCCAGGGGAGCGAAAGGGAUUAGAUACCCUAGUAGUC
rnacentral:rRNA from 1 species